UAAUAUUGUAAUAUUUCUUGAAUAAUUCAUGUUUUUAAACAAGAAAGGCUGGCAUAAAUUUAUGUCAAUCUGUUUGUGUAUUGCAGCGCUGUGCCUAACAAACAAACACAGUCUGCUUCCCUCGGAGACUCGCGGGGAGAGGCAACGGAAAAGCAGCAUCUGAAUAGGGGGCUGGAAUUCAAGUUCAUCCCCAGAAGGGAGAGGUGCCCCCAGGUGCCUUCUGAGGUUCCCAGACACCGUGGUCUUUGCUGUCACCCCCUUAUCAGAUGGUUCCCAAUAUAUGAAGCCCUCAGGGAAGUGGGACAGGGCCAAGGAGUGAGGUGCAGCAGCAAGAGAAAGUCAUCAGGAACAGGAGGUGUGAAGAAUGGGAUGUGA
rnacentral:lncRNA from 1 species